rnacentral:rRNA from 1 species
GACGAACGCUGGCGGCGUGCCUAAUACAUGCAAGUCGAGCGGACUCAAUGGGAGCUUGCUCUUGUUCGGUCAGCGGCGGACGGGUGAGUAACACGUGGGCAACCUGCCCGCAAGACCGGGAUAACUCCGGGAAACCGGAGCUAAUACCGGAUAACACCGAAGACCGCAUGGUCUUUGGUUGAAAGGCGGCGCAAGCUGCCACUUGCGGAUGGGCCCGCGGCGCAUUAGCUAGUUGGUGAGGUAACGGCUCACCAAGGCGACGAUGCGUAGCCGGCCUGAGAGGGUGACCGGCCACACUGGGACUGAGACACGGCCCAGACUCCUACGGGAGGCAGCAGUAGGGAAUCUUCCGCAAUGGGCGAAAGCCUGACGGAGCGACGCCGCGUGAGCGAAGAAGGCCUUCGGGUCGUAAAGCUCUGUUGUGAGGGACGAAGGAGCGCCGUUUGAAGAAGGCGGCGCGGUGACGGUACCUCACGAGGAAGCCCCGGCUAACUACGU